AGGUUAAUAUAAUGUGUUAGCAAAUCAAAUUAACUCCUAAAAUUUAUAUUAAAUUCUAAUUAAAUCAGAUCAAAACUAAAUCUUAAAGUGUGUGACCCACUGAAUUUCAAAUCUAGCCAGCAGUGGAUACAGACUCAUAACCUAAUCCUAAUCUGAUCUAAUUAGAUCAGCUCAAGAGUCCCAAUUAACUAUCCAAGUU
rnacentral:lncRNA from 1 species